rnacentral:misc_RNA from 1 species
AUCACACUUACCUGUAUAAAGUUCUGCAAAACCAAACCUUGCUUGCUUUUAAAGAAUUGAACUAAAAAAGAGCGCUUCUCAGAGAAUCAAUAAAAUAUGAAAUGAUAGACUUUGUGGAAAGUAAGAAAAAGCUACUAAGUACAUAAUAAUAGAUCUACCAAACGCACAGUACUAACUCGACCAAAAGGCAAAAGCAAUUAAAUUCUUCAACAUUUUGUGUAAAACUGAGAUUAAAACCCUCAAAAAUCUCAAAUUUCAAA